rnacentral:rRNA from 1 species
GACGGAGGGUGCAAGCGUUAUCCGGAUUUAUUGGGUUUAAAGGGUCCGUAGGCGGAUCUGUAAGUCAGUGGUGAAAUCUCACAGCUUAACUGUGAAACUGCCAUUGAUACUGCAGGUCUUGAGUGUUAUUGAAGUAGCUGGAAUAAGUAGUGUAGCGGUGAAAUGCAUAGAUAUUACUUAGAACACCAAUUGCGAAGGCAGGUUACUAAGCAACAACUGACGCUGAUGGACGAAAGCGUGGGGAGCGAACAGG